GUGAAUGAUGAUAUGCACUGGGCUCUGAGCUGUUUUAACUACACUUUUGAUGGAAAUGCACAGCCUAUAAAGCUAUGUCUGACUA
rfam:Glycine soja cultivar W05 scaffold1660_173, whole genome shotgun sequence.